UCUUCAUUCUUCAUAAUCUCUCACCGGUGGGAGAGGCGAGAGAGUGUGCGAAAUGAAGAGA
rnacentral:pre_miRNA from 1 species